rnacentral:rRNA from 1 species
CAGGGAAGAAGCGAAAGUGACGGUACCUGCAGAAAAAGCACCGGCUAACUACGUGCCAGCAGCCGCGGUAAUACGUAGGGUGCAAGCGUUAUCCGGAAUUAUUGGGCGUAAAGAGCUCGUAGGCGGUUUGUCGCGUCUGCUGUGAAAUCCCGAGGCUCAACCUCGGGCCUGCAGUGGGUACGGGCAGACUAGAGUGCGGUAGGGGAGAUUGGAAUUCCUGGUGUAGCGGUGGAAUGCGCAGAUAUCAGGAGGAACACCGAUGGCGAAGGCAGAUCUCUGGGCCGUAACUGACGCUGAGGAGCGAAAGGGUGGGGAGCAAACAGGCUUAGAUACCCUGGUAGUCCACCCCGUAAACGUUGGGAACUAGUUGUGGGGUCCUUUCCACGGAUUCCGUGACGCAGCUAACGCAUUAAGUUCCCCGCCUGGGGAGUACGGCCGCAAGGCUAAAACUCAAAGGAAUUGACGGGGACCCGCACAAGCGGCGGAGCAUGCGGAUUAAUUCGAUGCAACGCGAAGAACCUUACCAAGGCUUGACAUACACGAGAACGGGCCAGAAAUGGUCAACUCUUUGGACACUCGUGAACAGGUGGUGCAUGGUUGUCGUCAGCUCGUGUCGUGAGAUGUUGGGUUAAGUCCCGCAACGAGCGCAACCCUCGUUCUAUGUUGCCAGCACGUAAUGGUGGGAACUCAUGGGAUACUGCCGGGGUCAACUCGGAGGAAGGUGGGGAUGACGUCAAAUCAUCAUGCCCCUUAUGUCUUGGGCUUCACGCAUGCUACAAUGGCCGGUACAAAGGGCUGCAAUACCGUGAGGUGGAGCGAAUCCCAAAAAGCCGGUCCCAGUUCGGAUUGAGGUCUGCAACUCGACCUCAUGAAGUCGGAGUCGCUAGUAAUCGCAGAUCAGCAACGCUGCGGUGAAUACGUUCCCGGGUCUUGUACACACCGCCCGUCAAGUCAUGAAAGUCGGUAACACCUGAAGCCGGUGGCCUAACCC